rnacentral:rRNA from 1 species
GUAGGUGGCAAGCGUUGUCCGGAAUUAUUGGGCGUAAAGCGCGCGCAGGCGGGUCCUUUAAGUCUGAUGUGAAAGCCCACGGGCUCAACCGUGGAGGGUCAUUGGAAACUGGGGGGACUUGAGUACAGAAGAGGAAAGCGGAAUUCCAAGUGUAGCGGUGAAAUGCGUAGAGAUUUGGAGGAACACCAGUGGCGAAGGCGGCUUUCUGGUCUGUAACUGACGCUGAGGCGCGAAAGCGUGGGGAGCAAACAGGAUUAGAUACCCUGGUAGUCCACGCCGUAAACGAUGAGUGCUAAGUGUUAGGGGGUUUCCGCCCCUUAGUGCUGCAGCUAACGCAUUAAGCACUCCGCCUGGGGAGUACGGCCGCAAAGGCUG